rnacentral:rRNA from 1 species
UAGGGAAUUUUCCACAAUGGACGAAAGUCUGAUGGAGCAACGCCGCGUGCAGGAUGAAUGCCCUUGGGUUGUAAACUGCUUUUAUAUGUGACGAAUAUGACGGUAGCAUAUGAAUAAGGAUCGGCUAACUCCGUGCCAGCAGCCGCGGUCAUACGGAGGAUCCAAGCGUUAUCCGGAAUUACUGGGCGUAAAGAGUUGCGUAGGUGGCAUAGUAAGUAGAUAGUGAAAGCGUGGGGCUCAACCUCAUAUCCAUUAUCUAAACUGCUAAGCUAGAGGGCGAGAGAGGUUACUAGAAUUCCUUGUGUAGGAGUGAAAUCCGUAGAUAUAAGGAGGAAUACCGAUGGCGUAGGCAGGUAACUGGCUCGUCCCUGACACUAAGGCACGAAAGCGUGGGGAGCAA